rnacentral:lncRNA from 1 species
CCUUUUGUUUUCCUUUUUAAGUAUUAUUUUUAGCUACAUUUUAAGAAAAUUAAGAGGUCCUGUUUAAGUCAACACUGACCUACCAAUAAUUCUAAAUAUCUGUAAAACAAAUCUACAUAAAACCUUGCAAUGUCAUAUCUUAUAUAAGGACAAAUAAAUAAUGAUAAUUUUAAAAUUCUGGUUAAGCUUUGAACAUUUAGAAAUAUUUUUUGAAGCAUUAUGAAAACCAUGUUCUGAGAGCAACCAAAAUGAACUUAUUCCUGCCCCAGUUGUCACAGGCUCUGGAACAUAGAAAAUGCCAGGGAGAAGAUCAGGAGCUUAAACCACCUCAGAAGAAAAAAAUGAUAGAAAUAUAUUAACUAUGUUUAACUAUAUCAACUAUAUUUAAUGACCUAUGGGUCAUUUUCUAGCCACCAAUAGAUUUCGUAUUUCAGUAAAUUAACGAAAUUUAAAGUAUUUCAUCCUGUAAUUGUACUAAGCAUCUUAUAAGCUUUUUCUUGUAGAUAUCAAUUCAGAGGAUCAUCUUUAAACGAAAAGUAAAGGGGUAUAAUAAAAGUUCAAACAGGGGAAUUCCUAGGGUAGAGC